rnacentral:rRNA from 1 species
GACGAACGCUGGCGGCGUGCCUAAUACAUGCAAGUUGAGCGCUGAAGGUUGGUACUUGUACCAACUGGAUGAGCAGCGAACGGGUGAGUAACGCGUGGGGAAUCUGCCUUUGAGCGGGGGACAACAUUUGGAAACGAAUGCUAAUACCGCAUAAAAACUUUAAACACAAGUUUUAAGUUUGAAAGAUGCAAUUGCAUCACUCAAAGAUGAUCCCGCGUUGUAUUAGCUAGUUGGUGAGGUAAAGGCUCACCAAGGCGAUGAUACAUAGCCGACCUGAGAGGGUGAGCGGCCACAUUGGGAAUGAGACACGGCCCAAACUCCUACGGGAGGCAGCAGUAGGGAAACUUCGGCAAUGGACGAAAGUCUGACCGAGCAACGCCGCGUGAGUGAAGAAGGGUUUCGGAUCGUAAAACUCUGUUGGUAGAGAAGAACGUUGGUGAGAGUGGAAAGCUCAUCAAGUGACGGUAACUACCCAGAAAGGGACGGCUAACUACGUG